GAACGUAUCACCCAAGACAACUUUACGGAGUUGACGAUUGACGGAGCGAAGCGACGUCAAAGCGUUCAUUAAAGUCGAGUUGGCUUAGGGAUACGUUCGUUGGGUAGGGGAGCGUUCUGUAAGCCUGUGAAGGUGUGUCGUGAGGCAUGCUGGAGGUAUCAGAAGUGCGAAUGCUGACAUAAGUAACGAUAAAGCGGGUGAAAAGCCCGCUCGCCGGAAGACCAA
rnacentral:rRNA from 3 species